rnacentral:lncRNA from 1 species
GGCGGCAGCAGCAGCAGGUGCGGGGCGGCGGCCGCGCUGGCCGCUCGACUCCGCAGCUGCUCGUUCUGCUUCUCCAGCUUGCGCACCAGCUCCUGCAGCUUCUUCACCUCCAGCUCCGCGUUCACCACCGGCCCGGAGCCCGCUCCAGAGCUGACCCCUGCCGAGGCGCAUUUCACCUGCUCCGCCAUCAUCGUGGGCCCCGAGGGCGCCGCGGCCGCCGGGGAGUGCGCGCCGCCGCGCCGGCUCCUCGGGCCACGGGGAGGCUACGGCUCCUUCCCUGUCGCCCCGGCCUGGGGGGCCGACCACGCGCGGGCUGAGGCCGAGCCGGCGGUUCGCAUCAGCACCGGGCCCUCGCCUCCGGCCGCGGCAGCCACCACCGAGCUGAUCUGCACAUGCUCAGUGCGUCCCUCCAGUCCCCUGGGCGUCGCGGCGGCUCCGGGUUUUAGCCGCGGC